rnacentral:lncRNA from 10 species
CCAGCUACUCGGGAGGUUGAGGCAGGAGAAUCGCUUGCACCCAAAAUCGGGCCACUGCACUCCAGCCUGGGGGACAGAGCGAGAAUCCGUUUCAAAAAAUAGAGAAAAGAAAAAGUCUUGAGUGCUGGACAAGCCUGUGACUCAGGACUCGGAAUGAUAAACAAGAGAGAAAUACACUGAGUUUCUAUGAUAGUCACUAACUCGGGGCUGCCGGCACUCGUGUUCCCCUGCAGAGGAAAGGUCUGCGUGCCCUAAGAGAGAGCUGCUGGCGUGCAGAGAGAAGCAGAGAUGCCGACGACGGGGAGGAAACACACUGGCGGUGGUGAGGCUCCUUCCAGCAGCCACAGCCCUGGUUCCUCUCAGUCUGUGACCCUCCCACAUCCUUCCCAUCUAUGAGAGCCUGUAAACUCCUUUUGCUUAACCUUGUUUUAGUUAAGGUUUUAAACAGUUGCCACCAGUGUGCCCUAACCACCCCAGUGGCUUGAGUGUUUCUCCGCUUCUUUUGCCUAGGAUCUGCGGAGAUGGACAGGACAGGAGACUAAGGAGCUAGACCUUUGCAUCAUUUCAGGUGGCUUGUGAGUUCUGGCCAGCAGAAUGUGAGAACAAGCAGAGUACUCUCCAUCUUCCCUCCCUGAUCCUCACCUCUUCCCCAACCACCAGCUGACUAGAGAUGCCUCCAACAGCUACAGGAGGCUGGACCCACAACAGGAAAGGAACCUGGGUCCAUGAAAGACUGUGUGGAGCAGAGAAUCCCCCACCCUAGUUCCCAGCAACUACCAGAGACUGUGGCAUGAGCAAAAAAAUAAACAUUUUUCUUUCCUUUUUUUUUUUUUUUGAGAUGGAGUCUCACUCUGUCACCCAGGCUGGAGUGCAGUGGCGUGAUCUCGACUUACUGCAAGCCCCGCCUCCUGGGUUCAAGAAAUUCUACUGCCUCAGCCUCCAGAGUAGCUGGGACUACAGGCACCUGCCACCACACCUGGCUAAUUUUUUGUAUUUUUAGUAGAGACGGGGUUUCACUGUGUUAGCCAGGCUGGUCUCAAUCUCCUGACCUCGUGAUCCGCCCGCCUCAGCCUCCCAAAGUGUUGGGAUUACAGGCGUGAGCCACCGCACCCGGCUAAAUAAACAUUUUUCAAAGCCUCCCAAGUAUAGGUAAUGUUUGUUACAGUGGUUAGUCUAUUCUGGCUCUAUCCUUCUGUAACCACCGAAGGGCUGGUUAAAACAUUUUAUUGGGCCCCAUCCCAGUUUUUGGUCCCAUAGGCCUGAAGGAAGGGGCAUACAAUUUGCAUUUUUAUUUAUUUAUUGAAACAGAGUUUCGCUCUUGUUGCCCAGGCUGGAGUGUAAUGGCACAAUCUCGGCUGACUGCAACCUCUGCCUCCCGGGUUCAAGUGAUUCUCCUGCCUCGGUCUCCUGGGUAGCUGGGAUUACAGGCGCCCACAACCAUGCCCGGGUCAUUUUUUGUAUUUUUAGUAGAGACAGGGUUUCACCACAUUGGCCAGGCUGGUCUCGAACUCCUGACCUCAGGUGACCCACCCGCCUUGGCUUCCCAAAGUACUGGGAUUACAGGCACGAGCCACCACACCUGGCCUGAAUUUGCAUCUUUUAACAAGUGCUGGGGGUAAUGCUGCAGCUGCUGCUGGUCUGGGGUGAUGUUGUGGCUGCUGGCCUUGUGAACCACUGCCCAAGUGCGUAGCUGCAGUGUGGGAGUUACUAUCCCAUUUUGCUGAGGAAAUGGUACCCAGUUCCUGGCCGUCAUGGGCACUGAGCUGCCUUCCUGCUGUGCCUCGUCAGUGCCUGCCUACAUCGUUGCUCAUUGAUCAUGGCCUGCGAGUUAGUGUCAUCAGAGGAAGGGAGAAGAGUUCCUAGAGUGGAAACCCUGGGCUGUAAGCCCGGUUCUACCACCUCCCAGCUGUCUGGCAGCAGGCAAGUUCCUCAGUCUAAGUCUCUUUCCUCUGGUGUAAAAGGGGAAAAGGGUGUUCGUUUGCUCCCCACCCCCAUCAGCCUGGCAGCUUUGUGCCCACAGUAGAUUUUCUAUGAGGACCUCUCACUGAUGCACUUGAGUGGCAGAGACUUGGGACUAAAGGAGGACUUCUGGCCCCAGAUGCCCCAGUGCCAGCCUCACCCUUGAGGGCCACAGUGAGCACCCACGUGUCUCACCGCCUCCAAGGCAGCUGAGACCUCUCCUGGUACAGGCUUACAGGGGGGAAGGCGGAAUUGUACAGGGAAAAAAAACCUCAGACUACAGUCACAAAUUUUACAUGCACACCUUUGCCAGUUAUGAGAAUUGUGUUGCAAAGAGGAAGGAGUGGAGAGUUUACCAGCCAAGGGCUGGAGGACCCCAACACUCCAGUUUCUUAGAACAUUCAUUGCAGGUACUCUUUUAUACUACCAAAGUCCUCCCACCCCAUCCCCCACCAACCACAGCUUCCAGGAAUCACUGAGAUUCACAGAGAAAGGAAGUAAACACAAUUAAGAACAAAGUUAUGUUGAAAAGAUAUUUCAAUGCACAUGUUGCAAACAAGGCGAGUCCCAGGAAUCAUUCCGAAGAAAAAGACAGAAUGACACUGAAAUCCAUCAUGAUGGUUAUCCCAUCAUGAUGGGAGUAAAGCCUUUAAGGGAGUAAAGCCUUAAAGAUCUCCUUGUCAGAUGAGACUUUUAGAACAGACCCGACAUUCUGUUGACUUAGAAGAGCUGAUGUCAUCCUCAGAGCCCAGGUGAUACACACAUUCCUGGAUGUGGCCACAGGGUGGAUGAUAGUACCCUCAGCUGAGAUGGGAAUAGGGGGCAGAGCAGUUUUGGAUGUGGGUGGAAUUGGGGGUUGGAGAAAGAGAAGCAAAGUUCAGCGGUUUGGGAUGCAGCCACUGAGGUGUCUGCAGGAGUGGAUGGAGAGGCAGAACAAGCAUUUGAGGACACUCAGGCUCUCUGGGUAGCAGACAUGGCCUGAGUGAUUUCAUUUACUACUGAGAGGACAGUGAGUGCCCCGGGCUGCCUCCCAGAGUGGCUGGCCCUUACCUAGGGCACCUGGUGGAUGCUCUAACCCUCAGGAUUCACUUUUCACCAUGAGAUAUUGACUCCUUUAAAUUUCUGCCUGUGUCCUAUUUUAAAAGUGGCUCUGCUGGAUGGACAAGUGGUGGAAGGAAAUUUGGAAUAAGCAACAGAGAUUCUGGUUGUCUUCAGUAAAAAACUAUGCAUUGGGGCCGGGCGUGGUGGCUGACGCCUGUAAUCCCAACAUUUUGGGAGGCCGAGGCGGGUGGAUCACCUGAGGUCAGGAGUAUGAGACCAACCUGGCCAACACAGUGAAACCCUGUAUCUACUAAAAAUACAAAAAUUAGCCAGUUGUGGUGGCAUGCGCCUGUAAUCCCAGCUACUCAGGAGGCUGAGUCAGGAGAAUCACUUGAACCCGGGAGGCAGAGGUUGCAAUGAGCCAAGAUUGCACCACUGCGCUCCAGCCUGUGUGACAAGAGGGAAACUCUGUCUCAAAAAAAAAAAGAAAGAAAAUAGAACUAUGCAUUGCUUAGGGUGCACCCUUCCAAUUAUCUGAUUCUAGUCUUUCACUGCCUUUGAGCUAUUUUUACAACUAAGUUGUAGAGUUAAUGCAAAAUAAUUCUUGUCUAUGGAUGUGCAUAUUAUACGAAUAAGAUUCAAUUGACCUUUCUCCUCAAAAAAAAAAAAAAAAAAAAAAACCCCAGCCAGUUUCAACUUUCCUUUACUCCAUACAGAUUUAUGGUUCAUUGUGAUUUCUCUUUUGAACUGGCUGUUAAUCUUAGCAGCACUCUCAAUUACUGAGUUAAAUAAAAUCUUUGACAUGUGUACAUGUAAUAUAUAUGAGUUAUGCCUUUUUUUAAAAAAUUAUCUUUAACAGAAGGCACGGGAAGGACCACUACCUCUCAGAGAUGGAAAGGCUUGCCAUGGUCCACGCAGCACAAAGCCCACCCCCAGCCAUAUCAUCCCAGACAGGAAGGGUGUAGCCUGGGCUUGCAUACCUCCAAGGACAGGGUGCUCAGUCCCUCCUAGAGGCCACUUCACUUCUUCCCAUAUUGGCUCACAGCUGUGACUUUAAAACACAGAACGAGUGCAUAUCUAAAACUAGAAGAAAACACUAUGGUCCUUCCUGCUGACAGCUGAGUGCUUGGGCCUAAAUCAGCAUCUACACACGCGGCCUGCAACCCUGGGUUCCAUGCAAAGGCAGUGUGGCUGAAUUGGCUGCAGGUGGAGUGAGGAGAGAGGCCAACACAGGCUCACGGUAACACUUCCACUGCCUCAGAACAAAACCCUGGAUUUCCUGACCUUCCAGCAGUCCAUGUGUAUUUUCAAAUACCAGGUUUUUCUCAGGGCACCAGGGCAAGCCGAGCAAGGCCCACACACGCUAGUCUCACACAUGUCCCCCAGCACUGCCCCCAGGUUCCCAGCCCUGCUGAGCUGUCCUCACAGACACGGACACCCUCCCUCAUAGGAGGUGCGGAGGAGCACCCAGUCCCGGUCUGAGGCCUCAGGCAAGUCCCAGCACACCCCAGGGCCUCUGUUCUCCUUAUGAGUGGGACCAGAUGGGGUCCACCAACCGUCCAAACGUGAUAUGCUGCUGUCUUCAGGGCACAUUAUCCCCAGCGUUGAUGUUCACAAUAAUCCCCUUUCUCCCCACAGACCAUCCCUCCUGGGCCCCAGGCCUCUGUGGCCUACCCUGGCCCCUUGGCAGUUGAUGGCCACUCUGCUGCUUCUGGGGGCUCCCGGGCAACUUUGGUUGUGUUGGUUUCUGGUAGCAUCUGCGCUCCAGGCAAGAAGCAACACCCUACCUUGUCUCCCCACCUCUAUGGCACAGAAAGAGAACAGACCUUGAACUCCAAAUGCCUGCUGAGGCUUGCCACAGACCUCGAAGCCUUGUUCCUAAAGGGACAGGGAAGUGGACCGUUUCGUUUCAGUGAUUCAAAGCUUGAGCUAUCUGACAUGUGACCCAGGCAGCUCUCUCGUAGGGACUGGCAGCCACAGAUAAAAUUCCCCAAUCAUUAAAAUUAUGUUAGCAAUAAUUCAGGGGAUGCAUACUAAAUAAUCUGGAUCUUUGUUAGAUGCUUACCCAUCUCAACUCAUUUAAUCCUUGAAACAACCUCACAGGGGUAGGAGGUUUUGUCACCUUAUACCCACACACACCAGCAGUGGUCAGGCAGCAACAGGUACACCCCAGCCCUGAGUACCUACUUAUUAAAAUGUGAUCCCCCAUCCUGGCUAACACGGUGAAACCCCGUCUCUACUAAAAAUACAAAAAAAAUUAGCCGGGCGUAGUGGCGG